rnacentral:misc_RNA from 1 species
UUUUAGCCCUGAUUGAACGGCAUGUUUGAGCUCUUUCCGGGAUUUUUGGCGGCGGCUUUGCCGCCGCCAAAAAUCCCGGAAAAGCGAGUAGUGAAAGCAGGUUCCCGG